UGGGUACAUAAAGAAGUAUGUGC
rnacentral:ncRNA from 2 species